ACCUAUCUCCACCUCAAGCGCAUCUCCACGAUCUAGUGCACUGCCGCGGCCGGCCCCCGCCCCUCUGCCGCGCGUCACCACCGCCGGCCACCUCCCCUCUGCCGUGCGCUUCCCCCCUCCGCCACCAUCAUCGGCCACCGGCCCUCCGCCGUGCGCCGCCCCCACCCCUUCGGCUUCAGUGGAUCCGCACCGCCGCUGCCCUUCCUCUCCACCGUCACCAGCGCCUGCCCGCGCUCAUCCAUCGCCGCGUUAAGGCUUCAGUGACCACGGCGCCUUAGCUGUGACCCAGGUCUGCUUGGCCGCCGGAUGGAUGGAUACCGGCCGAGCUCAUCCUUGGCGCCCCAGCUGCGACCCAUGGUUGAUUGGCCGCCGGCUGGAAGGGGACGUCUCCUCCUGACUAAGCUUGAUGUGGGACUGACAGCCUGGUGUUUGAGGCAGGACCGCAUGAGUAGUGACUUGCAUCCAGUAGGAGGAAGCAAGAAGUAGCAACAACUCUGAGCUAGUUGCUAGCAAUGCACCCCCUCCCCUCUCAUCUGGGUACAUGGAUUUUCAACGGCCAAACUACUCUCUUGAUUCUUUCUUUAGCGUUUUAGUUUUCACUAACAAUCCAUAGUUGGUAAACCAUGAACUCUAUUCAGGAGCAUCCGCCAACAACCUGUCUGAUGUUAUGCAUACGACGGAUUGAGAUUCAGUCUAAUUUUCAUGUCAAACUCUUACCUUUGUUUAGAAAAUCAAUAUGAAGAAACAGGUGUAUCUGAUGUACGAUCUACACUUAAGAACAAGUGUACCAGUUGUUCCAAGCUGCCGGACGGCCAAAGAGUCGGUGAGGGUCCACAAUCCAUUUGAUUUCAUGGGGAUUAUUUAGUAAAAUGCGAUCUACACUGAAGCCAAUCCGAUCCAGGUGAAACAGAGGUUGGUAGAUUAUUUCGGCAAUGGGGCUUCUGCUUGUGCGGCUCUGCAUACCGAGCGUUCAAAGUAGGAAAACAGACUCGGCGUGGCGGCCGCUCCCCAUUUCCCUGCGUCAUCCAGAUUUGUUCCGGCUGGGUGCCACCCCGGCGGCUAAGAGUGUGUUGUCCCACGGAAGCAGGCCCCUCCUCUGUACUUUUACAACAUAUCUAGUUAUGGUUCCAUUGUUAUCGUGCACCAAACCUUCAAUGAAUUUCUUGAAGAAAAUGAAUGGAUUCUUUUGUUGUGUGCAUCAACCAGGUAAAAUCCUAUUGGUUGUUAUAAUUAUACAAUCUUCUGAGCCAGCGAGCAGAAGUAAUUGCUGAUGUAAGUGUGGCAACUAAUUUUGUUUACAACUGUCAUUACUAAUUCUAUUAAAUCUGAAUUUCAUGGUGAAGCAUGGUUGGAAAAGAAAAGUCAUGGAUAAAGCUUAGUGGUUCCAAGUGAAGAGUUUCUGCUAAUCCAUCAGCGAAUGCUAAUGUAAGCAUUACAUCCUGUGAAGAUAUUUAUUCUAUGAUUCCUGCAGCUUUUUGUUGUUGUUGAAGCUAGCUGUGUGAUGCCCUUUCUGUUUCAUGUGAUUUGAUGCAUAGAUAGACAGAUUCUAUGUAGUCAGGACUUGGUACUUGGACCUUCAUAAGAUGGCGCAAGGGGAGCUAUGGGGAUAGAUUGACAACAAUAUUUGCAAGCAGGAAAUUAAAGUACAAAAACUACUUCGUAUCGCCUUGGCUAUAAGAGCGCUUGGACUCCCACAGCUGAAACCCCUGUUCAAUUGCUUUCCAUGCUUGACCUUGUUGUCCCCGUUUUGCCGACUUCGGCAGAAUCUCGCCGUUUGACUUCGCCCGAAUUCUGUCUGCCUGUUCUCCACCCAUGGUACAUGGUUCAGUGCCUUCUGUAGAUUGAUGUUCUAUUCUCCACCCAUGGUACAAAAACUACUUCGUAUCGCCUUGGCUAUAGAAUUAUCUGCUAUUUUCCUAUAAUUUCGCCAUCAAAAGAUGUUCUAUUUGUUUGGUUACUAGCUGUUCUGGUUGUGCCCAUCGAUCAUCAUAGCCAAUUGGUUUCCUGUAAACGCAAGCUUCCUCUUUUACAUGAUUAUCAAAAUACCUCCAUCAUGAAGAACAAAGACUAUUUGUGAUUUUUUGUAUUAUCUUUCAGUUGCUUGUUGUGACCUAAAGAAUUGACAGGCAUUCAUAUGUACCAGUCAGUCCUGUAUGUUGAUACAUGACAAGUGUAUGGGCAUGAGUCAAUUGGUCACACUAGUAGUUAGGAAGUCUUGUGUAAAGUUUUCAAACAAAAGAUUAUUAUUAAUGAUUACUGCAACACCUUCUCUAUUAUUGCUCUUGAUUUUCUUAUUAUCCGAUUACUGGAUCAUUAAAUCAGUCUUGUAUGUUGGCAUAGCCUCAAGCAAGCCUCUGUAUUUUGCCUUUAUUAGGAGUAGGUGAGGCUCAAGCGACUAAUUUGGUUUCCUGUGAACUCAAGUUUUAUAUUUCAUGAUUAUCAAAAAAUUGACUAGAUCAAUUUUUUUCUCUGCAAUUGUUCCUUGUGUAUGCGCAGAUGUAGAUGCUAUUUUUUACAGUUUUAGAACACCUAUGCAUGCCAAUGUGACAAUGUUUUUCCAUUGAUCCAUCCAUGCGCAAACUGACAAUUUUGUUACUCUGUUCAGGUUGCAAUCACGACGAGCAACAAAUGUAUGCACUGAACUACUGGAGUAAGGUAGUGAAAUACUUCUUGCUUGCGUGGGUGGAAUUUUCGAACAGAGGAAGAACAUACAACAGAGUGUAUGCACUACAGGAAUGGCACAAUAUUCUCAUGGCGGAAUGGGGAUGGGGCACUAUGUGACCCAACAACUGUUCUACCAGCAGGGUUGAUGGCAUUCUAUGGCAAUACCAGGAAUCCAAACAUCAUCCCCGAAGUGAUCCGUGGUGCUCAGUGAUACACUUCAAUGGAAACAUGAAGUUGUGGCUUGGUGUCGCUCUCAACCAGUAGAGGGCUAUAUGGACUAAGCAUGUAUAGACUAGAAUGGAAUUCUUGACACUGUAACUUUUCUUUCUGAAGUAAUUUAAGAAAUCAUCCAAGAAUAAGUCAUCUGCCAAUAUAUUGAUUGUGGGAAAAUGAGUGAACUAUUAUUUUUAUUUGUUA